rnacentral:rRNA from 1 species
AUGCAAGUCGAGCGAACAGAAAAGGAGCUUGCUCCUUUGACGUUAGCGGCGGACGGGUGAGUAACACGUGGGCAACCUACCCUAUAGUUUGGGAUAACUCCGGGAAACCGGGGCUAAUACCGAAUAAUCUCUUUUACUUCAUGGUAAAAGACUGAAAGACGGUUUCGGCUGUCGCUAUAGGAUGGGCCCGCGGCGCAUUAGCUAGUUGGUGAGGUAACGGCUCACCAAGGCGACGAUGCGUAGCCGACCUGAGAGGGUGAUCGGCCACACUGGGACUGAGACACGGCCCAGACUCCUACGGGAGGCAGCAGUAGGGAAUCUUCCGCAAUGGACGAAAGUCUGACGGAGCAACGCCGCGUGAGUGAUGAAGGUUUUCGGAUCGUAAAGCUCUGUUGUUAGGGAAGAACAAGUGCAAGAGUAACUGCUUGCACCAUGACGGUACCUAACCAGAAAGCCACGGCUAACUACGUGCCAGCAGCCGCGGUAAUACGUAGGUGGCAAGCGUUGUCCGGAAUUAUUGGGCGUAAAGGGCUCGCAGGCGGUUUCUUAAGUCUGAUGUGAAAGCCCCCGGCUCAACCGGGGAGGGUCAUUGGAAACUGGGAAACUUGAGUGCAGAAGAGGAGAGUGGAAU